rnacentral:rRNA from 1 species
UACGUAGGCAGCAAGCGUUGUUCGGAGUUACUGGGCGUAAAGGGUGUGUAGGCGGUCUUUUAAGUUUGGUGUGAAAUCUCCCGGCUCAACUGGGAGGGUGCGCCGAAUACUGAGAGGCUAGAGUGCGGGAGAGGAGAGUGGAAUUCCUGGUGUAGCGGUGAAAUGCGUAGAUAUCAGGAGGAACACCGGCGGUGUAAACGGCUCUCUGGACCGUGACUGACGCUGAGACACGAAAGCGUGGGGAGCAAACAGG